UUAUGGCCACAUCAUGUUGAAGAACCAGUACCCAUACAAUCACCAAAGUUAAGCAACGUCAAGCCUGGUCAGUACCUAGACGGGUAACUGCUUGGGAAUACCAGGUGC